UGGUUUGGCUGAAAGAACAUUGUACUGAAAAUUUUAGAGUAGCUCCAAUUUAAUAGGGCUAUAUCUAGAAGUUGAGGCAAAAUUCAGUUACUUGGUUCCCUUUUCCUCUGUAUGUGCAAGCGGUUAUAACUUUUCAAAUUGUUAGAAAUUUGAAGGUUCUACUUUGACUUAAUUUUUCAGUAACCUGUUUGAUACUAAACUCAUGCCUGAGUCACAUAAAGGAUUGAUUCACUAGAAGUGAAGGUUUGCAUCUAUAUUAGUCUAUAUGAUAUGUCGUUGAACUCUAGGAGGUUGAUAUACAUAUUGUUCUGAAAGCUGGCCCAGAUUCUUUUCCCUUGAGAUUAAUUUUGGAACUUUUGUUGCUGAAGGGCUCUGUUCUGGAAGACACUUGGACUCAUAUCUGCCCAUAUAUCAUAGAUCAUAGCACUGAAAGUGAUGUGAUCUUUGCCAAAAUUUUCUGAAUAUUGCUGUUCAAGUGCUUUUUCAUGUAUUGAGCUCCAUAGAAAACAACCUUGCUUUGUCCUACAUUUUUUUCACUUAAUAAUUGGCUGUUGGAGGCUUUGCACUUGUCAUAGAUAAAGGAACCUAUCUUAUUAUCUCCUAAAAUUUUUAGAAAUAGUUAACAACCUUUGGGUAUGGAGACAGCUUUUCCAUUCUUUUUGCUUAUCUUGCAUUCUCCUACAUUCUUCUAUCACCAUCGUAUACUCCUUUAUUUUGGUUGUCAAAUUUUUAAUUGCUAUGAAUUCGCAUCCUUGGGAGUUUAAAAAUGGAUAACAAAUGCAUAGUUUAACUUAAUCUCUCAUUCCUAUCUUAACUUUGUGCAUCAUCCAUUAGAUGGAAUAGUUUGGUAACCAUAGAAGGGAUAAUAAGCUUGGCCAUGUUCAACAACUCAUGUACCAUAACCACAACCAUCCACCCUUGUUUGAACUAUUUUUGAGGUUGGCUAUCUAGCAACUUGUAUAUCAUGAAAUUAAUAUAAACAGUCUCUGCAUGCUUAAUCCAUUGAUCCCACAUGUUAUUAUCCAUGAUCAUACAUGCACUAAGCAUAUGUUUUCUCAUUAAAUAUAUAAUUCUUGUGAGAACUUAGUAUUGCAGAGAUAGGUUGUACAUGCUAGCUUGAGAAUCGGUGGUCAUCGUUUGCCGAGGCGGACUAAACUACCUGGUUCACCCUGUACCAAACCAAACCGGCGAGGAACCGGCAUGGUUCGGCGCCAUUUUUCAAAAAAUAGCGUGAACCGGUGCAAACGGGUUCGGCUACUCCUCUUUCAAUAUCUCAAAAACUUGAAUUAUGGUUUAUUGAACUGGGGUGAACCAUCUGGCUCCUCCGUACCGAACCAGCACUGAUCGGCACCAGUUCGGCUAACCUUAAUGGUGGUCCGUUGUCUACUUUUCUUUCUAACGCUCUUAGUGUUGGCUUUGACGUAUUGAUCGAACAACAUGAUUUACAUAUUAGUGGUAAUUAAAAUUGAAUACUAAAGUCUAGAGCUACAUAUUGAGUUUCAGUUUCAAGCAUAGUUUUCCAACAUGGUUACCUCAAUAUUG
rnacentral:lncRNA from 1 species